CUGAGAAAGAAGCCAGUCAAUGCAAAGGAGGGUGAAGAGAACAGAUCUUCAAAGUUUGAAGAGAUGAAAUAUUGAAGCAAAGUUAAUGUUUUGCAGUGAUUUAUAUAACUGAUUUGAUACAUGAAGAAGGCCACACAGGAAAGAAUACUUGGAGGCAGUGGAGGGAGAAUAAAGCCUCAUUUGACCGGAGGGAAGGAAGGAAGCCAGUGAAUGUCACCUAAGAAACCCAGAUUUGGUAGAGUUCAUGGACUUCAACUGUAGUGCCAUUAAGACCCUGUAGAGAGCAAAAUGGAGUCUCUCAUGUCAAGCAGGGGCCUGUGUCAAGC